ncrna:Treponema denticola ATCC 35405 TD-2 RNA
GUUUUUUGGCUGCCGGUGGUUUCACGCUAGCGACGUUUUGCCGUGAGGCAAAACUUGAAGCUUAAAAAAUGUACCUCUCUGUACAUUUUUUAAGCGGUA